AAGGGUAUAGCUCAGUGGUAGAGUGCAUGCUUAGCAUGCACAAGGUCCUGGGUUCAAACUCCAGUACCUCUA
rnacentral:tRNA from 1 species